AAGUCAUGUUGAGGAUAAUUUCUAAGAAGACCCAUGUACCCCUCCCAAGUUUCAUAUAAGGACUCUAGCAUAUGUUGUUCGAAAUUUGCUAUAUUAUUCUUCAAGUU